rnacentral:rRNA from 1 species
AUUGAACGCUGGCGGCAGGCCUAACACAUGCAAGUCGAACGGUAACAGGAAGCAGCUUGCUGCUUUGCUGACGAGUGGCGGACGGGUGAGUAAUGUCUGGGAAACUGCCCGAUGGAGGGGGAUAACUACUGGAAACGGUAGCUAAUACCGCAUAACGUCGCAAGCCCAAAGAGGGGGACCUUAGGGCCUCUUGCCAUCGGCUGUGCCCCGAUGGGAUUAGCUAGUAGGUGGGGUAACGGCUCACCUAGGCGACGAUCCCUAGCUGGUCUGAGAGGAUGACCAGCCACACUGGAACUGAGACACGGUCCAGACUCCUACGGGAGGCAGCAGUGGGGAAUAUUGCACAAUGGGCGCAAGCCUGAUGCAGCCAUGCCGCGUGUAUGAAGAAGGCCUUCGGGUUGUAAAGUACUUUCAGCGGGGAGGAAGGGAGUAAAGUUAAUACCUUUGCUCAUUGACGUUACCCGCAGAAGAAGCACCGGCUAACUCCGUG